UUUCAUUUCGGUUGAUAAUUUUCUGUUUACUAUAAUAUAAUAUUAUAUUAAUUUAUUAAUUUAAAUUUAUAGUUAUUAGCUUAUUUAGUUUUAUUGGGUCCCCACACGGCACACACUGCAGCGGGCAGCGGUGACGGUGGCGGUAGCGUUUAAAGGAGUUCGGGUCCGAACUCCGAACAAAAUUUUGCCGCCACCGCCGAGGCUCGAGACAAAAGAAUUUUAACACCGCCGCUGCACUCGCUGCAAUGUACCUAAGAACGUAACCUUUACGGCUAUACCAAGGUGGAUGUAUAUAUAUAUAUACUUUGGUUAUUUCCUAGUAAACAACAAUCGAUAAAAAUACACUCAAAUAUCAUUGCUGGUCCGUGUUAUUAUUAAAAUAAUAUGAUAUAUGCCCAAUAUUGGUUAUUAAUUGGUUACAUUAAACACGAUUAACCUCAAUAAUUUCAAUGUUUUGUAGUCUAUGCGUUAAUUGAUUGAAUAUUUAACUGAAAACCGAUUUUUUGUUCCUAGUUUCUGAGUUUCAAAACGAACUUUUUAACAUUUAGCGUGACUGAGUUAGGCUUUCAUUCAUUCAUUCAUUGUAAUAGCACGCUAACAACUUACCUAGUGUGUAAUAGUCUGUUAUCUUCGUGUUCAACGUUUUUCUGUAGGUAAUUUUUUUCAAAAUGGUUAAGAGGUGUUCGCAAUGUACGUUAGUUAUGUGUCGUGAAGACGACUCGUCAACUAUUCAUGAAAUGGCACUCGAAAGUGUACAGUUCUGUUGUGAUCGAUGUUCAAAAGUAUUUGAUAAUCAAUCUGAUCUUUCGCAUCACAAGAGGACUCAUGGUGCUGUACGUAUUCAACCAAAGCAGAUCGAGUUAGCACCAAAUAUUUAUGCACCAAAUAUACAACCCAGUACAUCGAGCAUGGAACCCAAUAUAUCAAGCAUAGAUGAAUAUGAUGCAAUAUUGGUUGAUCAAUCCGAUAUUGAGAUAUAUAUCAGUAAAUUAGAAGAUGAAGACUCACUUGAUAUGCAAGAAACAAAUAUAAAUACAUGGAUUAGGAAAAUAAAAGUGAAGUUGCUUAAGACUGAACAAAAACUACACCCUAUGUAUGAACAAAACAAUUUUUAAGUAUUGCACCAUAAAUUUUGAAUUUUGUCUCAUUAUAAAAUAAAAUAAUGUUUUAAGGUGUGUUGUAUCAGGAUUAUUAAUACUUACCUACGCUAUUAGCAAAACUAAAAUGGCACUAUACUUAAUGUAAUGAAGAAAGAUUAUGGGGACAUCAAAGUCAAUCUCAUAUUGUACACGGAUAGGUUCAUUGAUAUAUUAUGCAGGGACAGAUGGUUUUUAUAAAAACGUUUUUGUAAAUUCAAAUCUGUUCAAUCAAAUGGGGCAAGAUUGAUGAACAGACAAUGAUUAAGCUGAAGCUUUAAGAAUAAAUAGCUGUACAUAUAAAAAUCAAAAAUAAGGAGGAAAUCAAGAAAAUAGGCAUCUGAGCUCAACAUAACAUUCAACAACCAUAAGAGAUGAUUGUAUGUGUCUAUCCGUGGCUAUGAUCCAACGAUAAUUUUCUAUGAUGCACCAAUCAUUCAGCAUAUAAUGAAAUGGUCAAUCCCUGUGGUGACUUAGUAUCGAUAGCUGAGACUCCAAGCAAAUGAUCAAAUCCAUUACAAGAAACUACGAUAUGAAGUCUAUCAACAUUUGUUUACCCCGUUAAUACAGGUUUAAAUGGUGGUUUCUGGAACAAAAGAAACCACUGUACCUAAAUUCAUUCAGCUCGAUUACAGCUCCUAACUUGAGACAUCUGAACGAGUCCUCAAAAGAAUUGUUGCUCAGUUCCUCAAUUUAAGACCCUUGGUCAAAGAUAUAAUAUUUUAUUUUUUUAGUUGUUUAUUAGUAUUACAUGACUAUAAUGGUUCAGCUGUUUUUCAUUGUUCAUUAAGACUGCUGAAAGAAUAAGACGAAAUGGUUACUUAAUCAUUAAUGGCAAUAAACUGAUCAAACAAUGUUAUAGACUGGUUGGAAAAAUACUUGUAUCUACUGCAUCCAAGAGCAAUUAUCAGUUUCCGCCAAAAUGUGAAAUGCCCGUUUCCGCAGCCAUCAUCAACUGCUUCCGCUAAUAUUAUAAAAUAGUUUGAUUACCGUUUCCGCCAAUUUACCUGCCACGAUCAAAAUAUUAUGGAACUAAAAAAAUGUUUUCUCCUAUAUUUAAAUUUAACUCAGGUUGUAUCAAAUCUUUAUAGUUCAAAAACUUUGAUAUAUAUUUAAUAUAUUACCUAUAU